rnacentral:rRNA from 1 species
UCGGGAAACCGGAGCUAAUACCGGAUAAUAUUUUGAACCGCAUGGUUCAAAAGUGAAAGACGGUCUUGCUGUCACUUAUAGAUGGAUCGCGCUGCAUUAGCUAGUUGGUAAGGUAACGGCUUACCAAGGCAACGAUGCAUAGCCGACCUGAGAGGGUGAUCGGCCACACUGGAACUGAGACACGGUCCAG